AACGAACGCUGGCGGCAGGCUAAACACAUGCAAGUCGAACGCCCCGCAAGGGGAGUGGCAGACGGGUGAGUAACGCGUGGGAACAUACCCUUUUCUACGGAAUAGCUCUGGGAAACUGGUAUUAAUACCGUAUAAGCCCUACGGGGGAAAGAUUUAUCGGGGAAGGAUUGGCCCGCGUGGGAUUAGCUAGUUGGUGGGGUAAAGGCCUACCAAGGCGACGAUCCAUAGCUGGUCUGAGAGGAUGAUCAGCCACAUUGGGACUGAGACACGACCCAAACUCCUGCGGGAGGCAGCAGUGGGGAAUAUGGGACAAUGAGCGCAAGCCUGAUCCAGCCAUGCCGCGUGAGUGAUGAAGGCCUUAGGGUUGUAAAGCUCUUUCACCGAUGAAGAUAAUGACGGUAGUCGGAGAAGAAGCCCCGGCUAACUUCGUG
rnacentral:rRNA from 1 species